GUCAGCGUAGCUCAGUGGUAGAGCACACGUUUCAUAAGCGUGUCGUCACAGGUUCGAAUCCUGUCGCUGACACCC
rnacentral:tRNA from 1 species